CUUAGAGUUUGAUCAUGGCUCAGGAUGAACGCUGGCGGCGUGCCUAACACAUGCAAGUCGAACGAAGCACGGGAGACGGACUGAUAAGCUUGCUUAGAGGGAAGGCUUUCGUGACUGAGUGGCGGACGGGUGAGUAACGCGUGGGCAACCUGCCCCGUACCGGGGGAUAACAGUUAGAAAUGACUGCUAAUACCGCAUAAGCGCACAGGACCGCAUGGUCGAGUGUGAAAAACUCCGGUGGUACGGGAUGGGCCCGCGUCUGAUUAGCUGGUUGGCGGGGUAGAGGCCCACCAAGGCGACGAUCAGUAGCCGACCUGAGAGGGUGACCGGCCACAUUGGGACCGAGACACGGCCCAAACUCCUACGGGAGGCAGCAGUGGGGAAUAUUGCACAAUGGGGGGAACCCUGAUGCAGCGACGCCGCGUGAGUGAAGAAGUAUUUCGGUAUGUAAAGCUCUAUCAGCAGGGAAGAAAAUGACGGUACCUGACUAAGAAGCCCCGGCUAACUACGUGCCAGCAGCCGCGGUAAUACGUAGGGGGCAAGCGUUAUCCGGAUUUACUGGGUGUAAAGGGAGCGUAGACGGCAAUGCAAGUCAGAAGUGAAAGCCCGGGGCUCAACUCCGGGACUGCUUUUGAAACUGCGAAGCUGGAGUGCAGGAGAGGCAAGCGGAAUUCCUAGUGUAGCGGUGAAAUGCGUAGAUAUUAGGAGGAACACCAGUGGCGAAGGCGGCUUGCUGGACUGUAACUGACGUUGAGGCUCGAAAGCGUGGGGAGCAAACAGGAUUAAGCCGAAUUCCAG
rnacentral:rRNA from 1 species